rnacentral:rRNA from 1 species
GACGAACCGAGCGAACGUUGUUCGGAAUCACUGGGCUUAAAGGGCGCGUAGGCGGGCUGCCGCGUCCGGGGUGAAAUCCUCCCGCUCAACGGGAGAACGGCCUCGGAUACGGGCGGCCUCGAGGGGGGUAGGGGCAUCUGGAACUGUGAGUGGAGCGGUGAAAUGCGUUGAUAUUCACAGGAACUCCGGUGGCGAAGGCGAGGUGCUGGACCCCAUCUGACGCUGAGGCGCGAAAGCCAGGGGAGCAAACGGG